GCGGACGUAGCUCAGUUGGUAGAGCGCUGGUUUGUGGUACCAGUGGCCGCGGGUUCGAAUCCCGUCGUUCGCCCCA
rnacentral:tRNA from 1 species